CAGCAGCCUCAAGUCCGGCACCCUCAACGGCCUCAACCCCCAGGAACAGGUCUCUUUGGUCUUGUACCAUGUCCUGCCGAGGUUCUACAGCUUGACGACCUUCCAAACUACGAGCAACCCGGUGCGCACCCAGGCGUCCGGCAACAAUGGAGUCUACAUGAUCAAUGUGACGACCAGCAGCAACCAGGUGAACGUGUCGACCGGGGUGGACGACGCACCGAUCAACGACGACCUCUACUCCGACUUCCCGCUGGCGGUCUACUCCAUCGACAAG
rnacentral:lncRNA from 1 species